AGUUGGAUAACUGGGUCAAAUGGUGGUUCCAUUCCCAGUUUUCAGAGGAAUCUCCAUACUGCUCUCCAGAAUGGUUGCACCAAUUUAUAGUACCACCAGUAAU
rnacentral:pre_miRNA from 1 species